rnacentral:rRNA from 1 species
UUAAGCGACUAAGCGUACACGGUGGAUGCCCUGGCAGUCAGAGGCGAUGAAGGACGUGCUAAUCUGCGAUAAGCGUCGGUAAGGUGAUAUGAACCGUUAUAACCGGCGAUUUCCGAAUGGGGAAACCCAGUGUGAUUCGUCACACUAUCAUUACGUGAAUACAUAGCGUAAUGAAGCGAACCGGGGGAACUGAAACAUCUAAGUACCCCGAGGAAAAGAAAUCAACCGAGAUUCCCCCAGUAGCGGCGAGCGAACGGGGAGCAGCCCAGAGUCUGAAUCAGCUUGUGUGUUAGUGGAACGGUCUGGAAAGUCCGACGGUACAGGGUGAUAGUCCCGUACACCAAAAUGCACAGGUUGUGAACUCGAAGAGUAGGGCGGGACACGUGGUAUCCUGUCUGAAUAUGGGGGGACCAUCCUCCAAGGCUAAAUACUCCUGACUGACCGAUAGUGAACCAGUACCGUGAGGGAAAGGCGAAAAGAACCCCGGCGAGGGGAGUGAAAAAGAACCUGAAACCGUGUACGUACAAGCAGUGGGAGCCUCUUUAUGGGGUGACUGCGUACCUUUUGUAUAAUGGGUCAGCGACUUAUAUUCUGUAGCAAGGUUAACCGUAUAGGGGAGCCGAAGGGAAACCGAGUCUUAACUGGGCGUUAAGUUGCAGGGUAUAGACCCGAAACCCGGUGAUCUAGCCAUGGGCAGGUUGAAGGUUGGGUAACACUAACUGGAGGACCGAACCGACUAAUGUUGAAAAAUUAGCGGAUGACUUGUGGCUGGGGGUGAAAGGCCAAUCAAACCGGGAGAUAGCUGGUUCUCCCCGAAAGCUAUUUAGGUAGCGCCUCGUGAAUUCAUCUUCGGGGGUAGAGCACUGUUUCGGCUAGGGGGUCAUCCCGACUUACCAACCCGAUGCAAACUGCGAAUACCGAAGAAUGUUAUCACGGGAGACACACGGCGGGUGCUAACGUCCGUCGUGAAGAGGGAAACAACCCAGACCGCCAGCUAAGGUCCCAAAGUCAUGGUUAAGUGGGAAACGAUGUGGGAAGGCACAGACAGCCAGGAUGUUGGCUUAGAAGCAGCCAUCAUUUAAAGAAAGCGUAAUAGCUCACUGGUCGAGUCGGCCUGCGCGGAAGAUGUAACGGGGCUAAACCAUGCACCGAAGCUGCGGCAGCGACACUAUGUGUUGUUGGGUAGGGGAGCGUUCUGUAAGCCGUUGAAGGUGUACUGUGAGGUAUGCUGGAGGUAUCAGAAGUGCGAAUGCUGACAUAAGUAACGAUAAUGCGGGUGAAAAACCCGCACGCCGGAAGACCAAGGGUUCCUGUCCAACGUUAAUCGGGGCAGGGUGAGUCGACCCCUAAGGCGAGGCCGAAAGGCGUAGUCGAUGGGAAACAGGUUAAUAUUCCUGUACUUGGUGUUACUGCGAAGGGGGGACGGAGAAGGCUAUGUUAGCCGGGCGACGGUUGUCCCGGUUUAAGCAUGUAGGCGGAGGUUCCAGGUAAAUCCGGUACCUUUUAACGCUGAGGUGUGAUGACGAGGCACUACGGUGCUGAAGUAACAAAUGCCCUGCUUCCAGGAAAAGCCUCUAAGCAUCAGGUAACACGAAAUCGUACCCCAAACCGACACAGGUGGUCAGGUAGAGAAUACCAAGGCGCUUGAGAGAACUCGGGUGAAGGAACUAGGCAAAAUGGUGCCGUAACUUCGGGAGAAGGCACGCUGAUAUGUAGGUGAAGUGAUUUACUCAUGGAGCUGAAAUCAGUCGAAGAUACCAGCUGGCUGCAACUGUUUAUUAAAAACACAGCACUGUGCAAACACGAAAGUGGACGUAUACGGUGUGACGCCUGCCCGGUGCCGGAAGGUUAAUUGAUGGGGUUAUCCGUAAGGAGAAGCUCUUGAUCGAAGCCCCGGUAAACGGCGGCCGUAACUAUAACGGUCCUAAGGUAGCGAAAUUCCUUGUCGGGUAAGUUCCGACCUGCACGAAUGGCGUAAUGAUGGCCAGGCUGUCUCCACCCGAGACUCAGUGAAAUUGAACUCGCUGUGAAGAUGCAGUGUACCCGCGGCAAGACGGAAAGACCCCGUGAACCUUUACUAUAGCUUGACACUGAACACUGGUCCUUGAUGUGUAGGAUAGGUGGGAGGCUUUGAAGUGUGGACGCCAGUCUGCAUGGAGCCAUCCUUGAAAUACCACCCUUUAAUGGCUGGUGUUCUAACGUGGACCCGUGAUCCGGGUUGCGGACAGUGUCUGGUGGGUAGUUUGACUGGGGCGGUCUCCUCCUAAAGAGUAACGGAGGAGCACGAAGGUUAGCUAAUCCUGGUCGGACAUCAGGAGGUUAGUGCAAAGGCAUAAGCUAGCUUGACUGCGAGAGUGACGGCUCGAGCAGGUGCGAAAGCAGGUCUUAGUGAUCCGGUGGUUCUGAAUGGAAGGGCCAUCGCUCAACGGAUAAAAGGUACUCCGGGGAUAACAGGCUGAUACCGCCCAAGAGUUCAUAUCGACGGCGGUGUUUGGCACCUCGAUGUCGGCUCAUCACAUCCUGGGGCUGAAGUAGGUCCCAAGGGUAUGGCUGUUCGCCAUUUAAAGUGGUACGCGAGCUGGGUUUAGAACGUCGUGAGACAGUUCGGUCCCUAUCUGCCGUGGGCGCUGGAGAAUUGAGGGGGGCUGCUCCUAGUACGAGAGGACCGGAGUGGACGCAUCACUGGUGUUCGGGUUGUCAUGCCAAUGGCAUUGCCCGGUAGCUAAAUGCGGAAGAGAUAAGUGCUGAAAGCAUCUAAGCACGAAACUUGCCCCGAGAUGAGUUCUCCCUGAGACUAUAAGUCUCCUGAAGGAACGUUGAAGACGACGACGUUGAUAGGUCGGGUGUGUAAGUGUAGCGAUACAUUGAGCUAACCGAUACUAAUGAACCGUGAGGCUUAACCU